rnacentral:rRNA from 1 species
AGAGUUUGAUUCUGGCUCAGGAUGAACGCUGGCGGCGUGCCUAAUACAUGCAAGUCGAGCGAACCACUUCGGUGGGAAGCGGCGAACGGGUGAGUAACACGUAGGUGAUCUGCCCAUCAGACGGGGACAACGAUUGGAAACGAUCGCUAAUACCGGAUAGGACGAAAGUUUAAAGAUGCUCCUGGCAUCACUGAUGGAUGAGCCUGCGGCGCAUUAGCUAGUUGGUGGGGUAAAGGCCUACCAAGGCGACGAUGCGUAGCCGACCUGAGAGGGUGAACGGCCACACUGGGACUGAGACACGGCCCAGACUCCUACGGGAGGCAGCAGUAGGGAAUCUUCGGCAAUGGGCGAAAGCCUGACCGAGCAACGCCGCGUGAAUGAAGAAGGCCUUCGGGUUGUAAAAUUCUGUUAUAAGGGAAGAAAGGUGAUANGAGGAAAUGACUAUCAAUUGACGGUACCUUAUGAGAAAGCCACGGCUAACUACGUGCCAGCAGCCGCGGUAAUACGUAGGUGGCAAG